CCUACGGGAGGCAGCAGUGAGGAAUAUUGGUCAAUGGCCGAAAGGCUGAACCAGCCACGCCGCGUGAAGGACGAAGGUGCCAAGCAUUUUAAACUUCUUUUGCCAAGGGACAAAAUCAGACUCGCGAGCCUGUCCGAGGGUACUUGCAGAAAACGCAUCGGCUAACUCCGUGCAAGCAGCCGCGGUAAUACGGAGGAUGCGAGCUUUAUCCGGUUUUAUUGGGUUUAAGGGGUGCGUAGGCGGGCUGUAAAGUCAGCGGUAAAAGCCCGGGGCUAAACCUGGGCGAGCCGUUGAAACUGGCUGUCUUGAGAAGUCGAGAGGUAUGCGGAAUGCGCAGUGUAGCGGUGAAAUGCUUAGAUAUUGCGCAGAACUCCGAUUGCGAAGGCGGCAUACCGGCGGCGAUCUGACGCUGAGGCACGAAAGCGUGGGUAUCGAACAGGAUUAGAUACCCGUGUAGUC
rnacentral:rRNA from 1 species